AAAAAAAAAAUGCGAAAUCCUCGAAACGCGUCCAAAAAACGAAGAAAACGACGGGGUGUUUUUCUCACUUUCUCUGUCUAUCCCUAAUCAAUCGGCGUUUGCAAAUGUUGUUUUACGCGAAUUUCGCGACCGCUCGUCCGCGGUGAGUGUAUGCGAAAAGCGCGUGAAAGUCUUUUUGGCGGAACGGCGCGCCGCGAUCAACGGCGGUGAGUCGGUCGCAUGGUCCGGAAAAUGCGCGUCGCGUGCGUGUCUCGUGGU